AGCUGUUUCUUCAUAAACCUGAAUGGUAGCUGAAUCUCCCUCCAAGCGAAUAAUCUCCCCGAUGAGAUGGUCAUGACCAACACGGACCAGUUCAUACAUGGCAGCACCACCCAUUCCAUCUGCCACCACGACUGGCCCAGACACCUUACGGACGUAUCCGUACUCGCUCUCCUUCUCAGCGUCCUCGAACGUCGUCAUCCGGCCACCGUACGACAUAGCGGCGAUCGGAGAGGUCGCUGGGCGGAGCGGCGGAUGAGAAUUGCUGGCGGAUCGGGUGAGAUCGAGGCGAUGAGAGGAGAGAGAGAAAGGGCGAGAUCUGGAGGUCGAGAUCAGAGGGGGAGAAGAGGAGAGAGGGAGAAUCCGGUGACUCGGAUUGGUGGUGAUAAAAA
rnacentral:misc_RNA from 1 species